rnacentral:lncRNA from 1 species
AGCGUUACUCAUCGUUAAAUCUUAUAUUUCUGGGUGUUUACUCACGGUUGUGAUGAAGUUGGGAACAAGGAAGAAACAGGGGACGUUUGGAGUCGAAUGACGGGGGACCCAGCUGCCGUUCACCGCCACGACAUGGAUUGUGUGUCUGAACAGGUCAGAAAAUGGCCGCAUGGACAGCGGGUGACAUCAAAGGCAUGUUUGUCUUAACCCAUGUGUCGUAUACGUCCGUCUCGUCGGCAGCCAACACCAGGAAGAGAUACGACCCCCCAUCACUCUUCCCGGAUCCCAACGUCACGCUGACGACGGACUGGUACGGUGUGCAUCCUGUUGUCGCUUGCCAGUAGAUAUGACGGAGAUUACCCAGGGAGGGCGCUCUUAUUCACUGGAUGGCAGAGCCGUGAGAAGGAGUUGCGACAUGAGUGUUACCACUGUUGGCAAUAAACUUGCAGGUGUAUGCACCAGUGAACAUGGACAGUUGGUAGACAAUAGCUGCACGCUGUACUACUGUACACAUAGUAGACAGCCAUUUUGUUUCCAAAAUCUGAAGCUGGCGCUAAUCUCGCUAUGCACAGCUCUGCUGGGUGGAAGGCCGUAGACAAAAGAAGCAAUAGUGUCUAAAGGGUAAAAGGACACGGGCGACGAGCUUCCGGAACCCCAGCGUGGUACGCCUAUGGGGAUUUUACUUGGGGCCAGUCUAUCACGUUUCAUUAAUUUAUGGAAGAAUAAUUCUUAACUGAAACCAUCCCAAGAAACACUCAUUCUUGAAGGUUGGCCUUUUUUCUUCAAGUGGUAUCGUGAUAAAGUCACAUGGAGAUGGUUAACAACCCAAAUUUCCUGAACGAUCUUUCAUUUCCGGCAUUAUCGUUCCUAGGUUUUCUUGUUCAUGCACAUUCGUUUUCAUUUCAUUUACUGACGUGAAAACGAUAAUGAUUAACGUUGCAAAGAUUUAUCUACCUGCAGUCUGUAGAUGGAUUUUAGACUUAGUGGAGCUGACCCGAUGGAGUUCUUAUUAGGAAAGGCUAAAGAUAAGACUUUAAAAUUUUUCGUAAAUGCAUUUUACUUCCGUUAAACGUGUAAAAAUGCUAAACUUAUAUUUGUUUUGCUUUUAUUUCAACAUUUAACUAAAGUCUAUACGGUAGCCUAAAACUCAAUACUGUAACUUUUUAUCUGCGUCGUCACGCCUGUAUUGUCGAUUUUCAGACGUGAGGGGCCAAUUUUUACUACGACGUUGCUCUUUCAGGUUAGUAAUAUUUCACUUUCUAUAAAUUGCCAUAAACUCAAUAUUUUACAAAGCUUUUUUAAGAGAUUUUUUCAGACGUUAACGAAGGAAAAACAGUGGAAUUGUCAAAUUUUUGCACGUUAUUUUUUUCCCGGCACACCGGACGCGCCGUUAUAGGGACUCAACUGUCAGGCUCUAUAAUAGUAACAAGCCUGGGCGAAAUUUCUGGAAAAAAAUUGGAUUUGAUACCGUCCUUCAGUCCUUUGAUGCAUUUAAUCUUUCCUUAUAUAUUCUGCUUGCACCAUCGAGCCUACAGUGAAGAUAUCCAUGUCAAAUGGAUGCCCGUUUUCGCAACGCUGCCCGUAACUUUGUAAAAAUCAAAAGACGUCUAAUACAAGAAUUUCAACAACAGUCAUGAAGAGGGCGCCAUAUCUUACUAACCGCUGGACAAUCUCUCUCGUAACUUUGAAAGUAUAGUUUCUGUGCAAUUCUCGUCAGUAGCUUCAGGAAAGAGUAACGUGGGCUGUGACUGAAAGAAGCUGAUGGAUAUGUAAAUGAUUCGCAGUCUGCUAAUUUCCAAGUCUGUGUCAGUUAUGAUAAAUCUCAUUUACGAUUGCGUUUUAUCUCAAAUCUUUUCUUUCUUAAAAACAACGGAAAAAGUACUCUCGUUGUGCAUGUUGGUGUGGAUAUUGGGGGACUAAGGCCGUAAAUGGCAAGGAGACGUGCGGAUUUAUAGUGUACUAAUGAAAGGAUUUAGAAGUCACGUGGUAGCUUGUUCUUUCAACCUUGUAAGUAAACUGGUCUCGGUAGGUACCUUGAUCAAAGAGGAUUCAGUGCAUAGUAAAACCGGUGCUAAAAGCUUAGAAUGAUCUCUUCACUCUUUGACGGUACAAUGACACUUGCUCAGCACUUGCAGCACCGUGACUUUAAAUUCACCAGGCAAACAGCCUAUUGCAACUCAUUUCUUUCUUCUGUAGAGUGCUAAGAGGCAGAAUUUACCGAAAGGUGUGACAGUUUUGUGUCCCUGUUACAUCUGACCUUUGUUGUUUGACAUGGAAAAAUCACCGGAACUGAUUUCAAACUACAUG